rnacentral:rRNA from 1 species
GGUCGGUAAAACUCGUGCCAGCCACCGCGGUUAUACGAGAGACCCCAGUUGAAGGUGCCGGCGUAAAGAGUGGUUAAGGAAAGAUACAAACUAAAGCCGAACACCUUCAGAACUGUCAUACGUUUCCGAAGGGAUGAAGCCCUACCACGAAAGUGGCUUUACUCCCCCUGACCCCACGAAAGCUGGGAAACAAACUGGGAUUAGAGACCCCACUAUGCCCAGCCCUAAACUCUGAUAGUACCCUACACCCACUAUCCGCCAGGGAACUACCAGCAUUAGCUUAAAACCCAAAGGACUUGGCGGGGUUUUAGAUCCACCUAGAGGAGCCUGGUCUAGAACCGAUAAUCCCCGU